GAUGAAGAACGCAGCGAAAUGCGAUAAGUAAUGUGAAUUGCAGAAUUCGGUGAAUCAUCGAAUCUUUGAACGCACAUUGCGCCCGCCAGUAUUCUGGCGGGCAUGCCUGUUCGAGCGUCAUUACAACCCUCAGGCCCCCGGGCCUGGCGUUGGGGAUCGGCGGAAGCCCCCUGUGGGCACACGCCGUCCCUCAAAUACAGUGGCGGUCCCGCCGCAGCUUCCAUUGCGUAGUAGCUAACACCUCGCAACUGGAGAGCGGCGCGGCCAUGCCGUAAAACACCCAACUUCUGAAUGUUGACCUCGAAUCAGGUAGGAAUACCCGCUGAACUUAAGCAUAUCAAUAAGCGGAGGA
rnacentral:misc_RNA from 1 species